rnacentral:snRNA from 1 species
AUUAUUUUUCUAAAAAAAAAAAAAAAAAAAAAAAAUCUGUUCUUAUCAGUUUAAUAUCUGAUACGUCCCCCAUCGGGGGACUACAUAUUAAAUGGAUUUUUCGAACAGGGAGUCGGAAAUGGGGCUUGCUCCGUCCGCUCCACGCAUCGACCCGGUAUUGCAGUACCUCCGGGAACGGUGCAACACUU